AAUAAGAACAAGCACUACACCAAAAAUCACUUUCCACAACACAUGAAUAUAAUACUAUUAAAAAAGUAUUAUAUUUUAAGAAGCGACAAAGGUCCGAAAUUUAAAAUGUCUCCCGCCUCUUCGCUCACUAAAAAAAUGAGCCCCAAUUUUCUUUUCUCAUUUCCCUUCUCAAUACCCCAAAACCGAAAUCCCCAUUUCUCAGCAGAGGUUCGUUUGGGUUUCCCCAAAUCCCCAUUUCUCUCAUUUCCCGAAAUCCCUAAAACUCAUUUUCCCCCAAAUUACUCUGCUGCCUCAUGCAUGCCGCCUGGAUGCUCACCCCGCCUGUGAAGGUUCUCUCCCCUUCAUCUCUCUAUCUUUUCUCUCUCAGGUGUGUCUUCUCCAUCUCUCUCUUUGGUUCUUCUCCUCUAUGGACAACAUCUCACCAUCUCUCUCUCAAUUUUUUUUGGACUCACCGAGUAUGUGUGUGAAUCUCCUUUGUUAUUUCGGUUAUAUAUAUAUAUGAUCAAAACUUCUCCUUCGACCCUAUUUCAGCAGGUAAUUUUAUUAUAUGUCUUGUUUUUUUUUUGUUUUCUCUGUUUUAUAUAUAUAUGUCAUUUCAGUUUUAUAUAUAUGUAAGUUUAUUAUAUGUUAUUUCGGUGUUAUGUAUAUGUAUAUAAGCUAAUCUGUUUAUUGGUGGGAUUGGUAUUUUGUGUGCAUAUUUGUAAAAGCUAAGCAUUUGCAUUUUAUCUUGUUUUGAUUUUCUUGAUUUUUUUUUGUUUUUAGAUUUGUGUUUUUCUUGGGCUCUCAAUCUCUACCUCUUUGACUGUUCUCUUUUGCUCAUAGGUAAAAUAAUAUAUAUAUUAAGUUUACUUUUGUCAAUGAGAUUUGAAAUUUGUUCUUGUGUUGGGUGUGGUUCGGAUACAAUAUCUCAAAUUUGCUGGGAGUUUUGGAGUUCAGCCAUGAGAAUAAUUGGGGGGUUUUUCACUAGGAGUGAAAUAGAACUCAAAGUGUAUGACAUAUUGAUUUAAAGAGAAAAAUAGAGUUGUUUUGGAAUUUUGAAUGCAGUGGUUAGUUAUUUAUCUUAUGUUUUUGGACACAGCUGGAUUAGAUAGCAGAUUUGUAUCUCUCUUUCUCUUCUUACGUUUCAAGUGUUUCAAAUGUAAUGGUUCAACAUGUCAAUGGUCUAUUAUUAACUUAGCUUUAAUGCUCAUGUUAUGUCUGCAAUUUAGGUUGUUUCAAUUAAUUUGGUUUUCAAUUUCUGUUUAUGUGGUUGAUGUACAUAACAUUUUGAAGUGGUACAAUCCGGUAUGAGAACCAAGUAUUUCAUGAACAAAAAAAAAACUUUGGUAUUCCAAAUAGGGUAAGAAAGAUGUUGAAGUGCAUGCGUUCAGGGGAGCAAGUGAAAAUGGAUGAAAUUGAUCAUUCAUCAGACUCUCUGGCCACUAGGGACUAUUCAGCAAGUGGGUUUCGUCUCCUCCAGGAGAAGCGGAUCCAAAGGUUGAUAAUAGCAAUAUUGAAGAGGCCGAGUCUUCUCUUCGUGAAAGUAGUUAUCUAAACUAUGAGGUCCGUUUUUUCUUAAUUUUUUUGUCAAAAAAAAUUAAUAAUAUAUAAAUUUAUUAGCUUGGUUUGCAACUUUUUCUUUUUGGUGAUAUGACUCAAUAAUUAAGUAAAUGGACCCACAAGCAUUGAGUUAUUUGUGUAAAGUAGUAUUUGAAAUCCAUAGUAAAAUUAUACGCGGUACUUUUUGUUCACUAUCUUCACAAGCAAACUGAUCAUAUAUAAAAGGUUUUGAUUAUAGAGCCAAAAAAAAUAAAUAAAAAAGUUGGUACAAUAAUAGAAAGAAUAAGAGCAGAAAAUAUAUAUACAUUUUUAUGGGUGCAUUGUGUAACUAUCAUAUUUUGCUUGGUUUUAUUUUCUGAUGGAAUUUACAGUUGCUGAUAGAUUUUUGGGACCAAGGACUAGUUCUUUUGUUAAUCUUUGAAGAUGCUUCAUUUUCCAUCAUUUAUAUUCGAUGAUAAUGCACAAUAAAUUUACAUUUUUAAUAAACGUAUGACAGUAUACACACACACACAUGCAUCACAUAGUUUUGACUAGUGGUCAUCAUUUUAAACAGUUUCUGCAUUUAUCAUUGUUCACUUCAUGAAGACCUUAAAAUAAUAAUAUAAACAAAUAAGUAUUUAUCUUAGUUUUCCAUUUUCUUCUUUUGAAGUUUUCAAUGUAUCAUUUAAGAAAAGACUGUAAGUUUGUUGUUGUGGUGGCAAGAACUUUUACUUUGUUCUGGGAUAGAUUUAGUACUAAAACCAAUAUAAAUGUCUGCUUCUAUGUUGGUUUUCUGCUAGCAUGAAUUGAAGUCUAUAAGAUGCAGCAUCAGGAAUAGAUAUGAUAUGGUCUUAUUGUGGCUACUUUAACUUUUACCUAAAUAAGUUUUUAUAUAUAUAAAAAAAAUCAAUUAUACAUGUAUAUGUAUAAUAUUUUUCCAAUCAGGACAUUUUUUCUCUAUAAAUAUUAGGCUAACAAAUAAGAUCUAUAUAAAUACCUAGAGACUAGAAUAUUAGGCGCAUGUAUAACUAUGACGAUGUGUGAUCUUUCGAAAUGGUCAGAGGGACAUAUUAUAUAAUGACAAUUUCUUACAUAAUAAGCUAGAAGGAUAGGUGGUCUUUUGAAAUGGAUAGUGGACAUAUUACUGGUUUACUUCUGCAUGGUAUAUUUUGCUACUCUUGUGGAGUGGCAGGAAUUCUUCUCAGUUGGUCAUAUUAGCUGGCAAGUUGCAUUUUCACUAUAACAUAUAUACUAAAAUCCUAAGCUUAUUUACUAUCAUUGCUAUUAUUGCUGUUGUAGCUCUAGAUCUGUAAAAUUAAAUUGAAGGUUUUAACCGAACACUCGGGGAAAAGUAUGAGUUGCUACUUCUGUUUCCCUCUAAUUCAUUUUGAGAGCAUGUGAACAGUUGAUAAUAAGAUAACAACACCUUAACUUAGAUUAUACUCUGGUAAUAGUGUUUUUUUUUCAACUAUAAUAAUAUUAAUAAUUGAGUUAUUAUUAUUAUUUAACAAUUGAAAUUGUAGACAACCUAGUUGAGUUUGAAUAUGCAGGGAUUUGACUAUAAUGUAAAGAAAUAUUGAUGAAUCUCACAACCAAGUAAAGAAAUUUGUAUGAAUUCUCAGUUUUCAUAUCCACCACGACAUCAUUUUUUCUGCUCUUUUAAUUGUUAACAGAAAUAUAUUCAAUAGGACCCUAUUAAUAAUCACUAUUCUCUGCUAUGAUUAUUUGUGGGUGUGGUGCACAAUGUUUUAGUACUGUUGUUAAAGCAGCCAAGAACAGAUGACACUACAUUUGCUUUUGUUUCGUUUUGGCAAAGUUUGCUUAAUCACUCUAAAUGCAUAAUGAGUUUCUUAAUGUUUGACAAUUCAGCCCUUAAAAUAAAUCUAUCAAGUCCUUAAGUUCUAUAAAUAGUAGCAAUUAGCUCCUUAUUAUUUAUUUUUUCACAAAUUUCAUAAUUUAUUAAGAAAAAAAUUAAUUAAUCCUAAAAUUUAGAGAUCAUAAAAGACAAGGUUGAUGGCUGCAUAUAUAAGAAUAUAUAAUCAUCUUUAUUAUAUUAGUUAAUUAAGUCUCCUUGAAAUGUUAUUGGAAUGAAAAUAAGAAAAUUCACUUGUACCAUUUUCAAUUACUUUGCAAAGUUGUCUGAUAACAAUGUUAGCUUUUGACUGGGUAAAAUGUUUGACAAUUAUUAAGAUGUGAACUUAAUUUCUAAUUAUGAUUCAAUGGAUGAAUAUGAUGUUCAACAUAUAAAUAAUUGGUCUGAACUAUCAAUCGAUUUAUUUCGAAAGAUAAUAAUCAAUAUCUAAGUGUAUUCUAUAUAAAUUGGUGCUAGAGUUAUUUGAUGAAUAAUCAAUAACUCAGUAAAGUAUUGUGAUACUUUUUGGGUGAAGAUGUUAAUAAUACUUUAUUUAUUUAAAGUAUUUUUUUUAAAAUACAUAUGUAUAUAUUACGUACGUUGGUUUCUAUAUAUGUAUUUAUUAAUUUUAUUUGCUCAAACAAUGUUUGUUGUGUUUACAGUAACCAUAGGUAGAUGAUAACAAUGAUGUAACUUUCAUAUAUAUGAUCAACUGGUUUUUUAUGUAUAUUAUUCCAAUAAUAUGACUCUUUGAAAGUUUGAAGAGAAUUCAAUUGCGACCAACUUGGUUAUAAGGAUUGGAUUUGGAUGGACAAAUUAUAAAUAGACGACUCAACUAUACAUCCAAUUAUAUUUCGUUGUUAUCCUAAGAUGGGAAAUUGGUUUCUCCUUUGGGUUAUACUUCUUCUUUCUCAUUCUCUAAUCCAUUUAUCUUCAUUAUCUCCUUUACCUUCUCCCUUGUGUCAUUAUGCUGAUAGCCCUGCUUUGCUACAGUUCAGAAACUCAUUUUCCAUCAAUCUUCCUGAAUAUUUUUUAGUUUUUGUUAUAUAUGAUUAUAUAUAUAUAGAGAGAGAAUGAAUGUAUGCCAAAUUUAUCUGUUGGAUUGGAUGUUCUGUAUUUUUCAUUAUGUAUAGUUGGAGUGGAGUGGAGUGGAGUGCAAAGACUGUAGAUUAAGACCUGAAAACAAUAAUAUUCCUUGGAGAUGUACACUACAUGUCUACAGCCACAGGAUCAUCAAAGCUCAUCAUGGCAUGGGGUUCAAUGGAAGAAGAAACAAAAACAAAACUAGGAGAAGGGACAGAAGAGCGAAAGUAACAUUGUAUGGACUCACAAGUCACAACAUGGGAACCCAUCUCCAGAUAUUGACUUUGAAUUUGAAAGUUUGCUCAAUUUUGAAAGCUUCCCAUCUCUAGAUUCCAAUUCUGGGAUUGGAAGGAUUACCAAAUCAAGAUGGAAAACUCAAACUAUUUCUUGGAGUUUGGAAGAGAUCUACAAACAUUAAGGAUGUUUGUCUGUUUUUUUGCAUUAAAAAGUGGUUUUGCAGACGCUCAUUACUACAUGAAUCUCUUGAUGAGUCGCUAAUUGAUAAAAUCCCGGGCUGCCAAAAUGACCGCAAAACACUUUUGGGGGAAUUAAAUUGGAUUUUCACUGCAGUGACUGAUACCAUUGCAUGGAACAUUCUGCCACAUGGUAAAAUUUGAAGAAUGCCUUUUAUACUUAUCUAUAGGUGUUACAGAGCUGCUUCUGUAACACGGAGUUUAUGACAGAGGAGCUACAGUGUCCUGAAUUUUUAAUAUGUACAGUUUAUGAUUGUUUGUUUCUUAGAAAUUUUUCCCUUAGCUUGAUUUUUUUGAUGGAUAUUUGGAGACUAUGAAAAGAGAUCUAGUUCAACUGUAGAGUGGCAAACAAGUUAUUAAUUAUGAUUCAACAAGUCAAGUGCAAAAGAAAAUCUGAUUUGGAAGGCUUUGGUGUGCUGAUAUUUGGAAGAUUAUGAAUUCCUACCUUUACUUUUGAAUAUGCAACUGUUUAAAACUAUUUUGUUGAUUAUUGUGAGAAUUUUUUUUAUGUUAAUUAGACAGUGUCUAAUAUCUUAAGACUUUUGGAUUAUUUUUUAGAUAAUCUUGAAUGUAUUUUGACACAAUUAUUUGAUUAUAUGUGUUAUGAACCAUAUAAUUGGUA